CAUCAAAAAGCCGCAGUUCAACAUCGGAAAUACCCCGGUGGAGCUGGUGAUUCGUAAGCAUACUGUUAUUGAAGAAAAAUGAUUUUUCACCGACAGUAUCGAGGUAACUUCUCAAACGCCUGUCGUGGUCAGCUGGGACGAUGUCGCGGACAUGGAAGGAUGAUAUAUCGAAAUUUCCGGCUGGGUGAAAAUGAUGUUCAUCGAAACGAAGAACAAAACAGGCGAUGCAAUCUACUCCAUCGGAGCUAUAUCGGACGGCAUCGAAUUGAAGCUCGCGAUUCGCGUCAUGAGUUCAGCCGCUAGCUGGCCGACAAACAUAUUCGUCGGAUGUGCGGUCACAGUGCGAGGACUUCUACAAUACGAUGACGUCUGUCCGUUCUUAAAAGUCGCAAAAGGUUCCGACAUAACGCUUCUGAAAAAAAAUGCACUGGACCCGGAAAUCCUAAUGGACGCUGCACUCGUACCAAAAAAGAGGGUAAAAAAAGCAUAAGAUCCGUACAGGAGCGAACACUAUAUUCGAAAAACAGAAGAAAAAAAAUCGAAGUAAAAAAAUGAAGAAAUUAGAAAGAACAGACAAAAUGAUAUGAGGCUAAGGAAAUUCAUGAAAAUUAUGCGCGAGAAAACUAAAAGAAGAAGGGAAUACAGAAAGGUGAACAGAGAGAGAUGAAGAAAAAAGAAAGGAGGGUUGGAGGACAGUAACAGAAGCGGAAAGCGCGAGAAAUAUAAAGAAAAACGAAAAGGACGAGGAAGAAUUAGAAAAAGAAAAGAGAGAACAAUAAAGAUAUUUUCAGUGUUGCACAUUGAUCAUUUAAUUUAUCGAAUAAUCGAAUAAUUUAUUUAUUAGUUUAAU